UCCGCCGGGGAUGCGGACGCGGCAGGCAGUACGACGUGCCGGCCCCGGGGUGUGGCUGCCCGGACCUAGCCCCAAGGGAGAGAGGCUGGAAGCAGCUGGAACCGUGACUCAGCGAAAACAGACCUCGGAACCGUGACUUGGCGAAAACAGACCUCGGGACCGUGACUCAGCGGAAAGCAGGCCGGGCGUGACUCAGCAGGAAAGAGCAGCCGGCGCGGGGCAAAAGGAUUGCUCAGGGGGCGGUCCUCUGCGGGCUUUCCUCCGCGCUCCGCCCCUCCGCGCCCCGCCCUCUGCGCCCCGCCCCCUGGCCCCUGGCCUUUCGGGGUUCCAGCAGCCACCCCUGCCAGCCUGCGGGGCAUCUGUGGCAGACACGGUGGCAACCUUAGCAAGUGACAUUUGAGCGGGUGGUUCCGCCACUCACAGCAUCGUGGGCAGCGUGGGGACUGCUGUGGCGGCCUGGGAGGGUCUUUGAUAUGUUACAUGCUUCCCCCUGCCCCCCAAGAUCUGGAAGGAAGGCAAAAGAAAGGAGGAGAAAAGGUAGGCGGUGAGAGACUUUGUCUAUAGACCAAGGCCUUCAGCAGAUGCUGGAAAACAGGUGCCUGCGGCAGCCCCCUCCCCCAACAACCUGCCAGGAGCUCAGCCUUGGUGCUCGGCGGGGGGCACAAACGUGAUUUCCUGAAAAGGCCUCUUUGUGCCCCUGUGGAGUUUGGGGUGAAGUUCCAAGUAGUCUUAGGAUCUGUUAUGGGCAGAAUUGUGUCCCUCCUCAAAUUCAUCUGUGGAAGCCCUAACCUCUGGUACCUUAAAAUGUGACUGCGUUUGGAGAUGACGCUUUACAGAGGUGACGGAGUUAGAACCGUGUUCUUAGGGUGGGCCUCCACUCCAGUGUAACCGGUGUCCUUCUGGAAAGAAAGACGACGUCUGGAACAUGCACAGAGGGAAGACCUGUGAGGACACAAGAAAACUAUUGUCUGGGGCGCCUGGGUGGCUCAGGCGGUUGAGUGUCCGACUUCGACUCAGGCCAUGAUCUCGCGAUUUGUGAGUUCGAGCCCCACGUUGGGCUCUGAGCUGAUGGUGUGGAGCCUGCUUGGGAUUC